rnacentral:lncRNA from 10 species
ACUGCUGCCCAUUCCCGCAGGAGCGACCACUGUGCGUGAGCAUAGGAGAACGUCUGUGGCAGGACCUGUCCGGUCUUGCGCCCUUUUUUUUUCCCGGCUGAAAGCAGAGCUUUCUCUCCCUCUUGCACUCCGGGAGUGUGUGGCUUUCGACUGCAAGACCCUGUUGUACAGACCCAGGCAGCGCGAAGCGCCACCCGCUCAUGAGGGACGGUCAAGCAUUUGUGAUGAUGCUUAAGACAUUUUGGAUCGUGAUGCACAAAAUUUCAAGACCUGAAAGAACCUGGAGAUAACAAAAGCAUCUCAGACGUGGUAGAGGAAAUGCUUUCACAGGCAUUUCAAAUCAUUCUCACAAAACCUGGCUAGGUGGACCUUUGGAUCACACUCGUCUUAAUGAUGGCAAACGUGGUAUCUUGAGAAGUGACUUGCUGGAGGUCACACAACCAGCUAGUGGCAUAGGCAUGGUUCAAAUCCAAGUUCUCUGACCACCUAUCUGUUCAGUUAUAAGAUGAGCUUAGGGGUUAUUUCACUGUUCGUGUCUUAUCACUGUAUAGUGUUUACAUUAAUACAAAGUUUUUCCACAUUCAAGUGUGGCCUCUAAGAUACAGAUUCGAAACUCAAAGGGAGGGGAGCAUAGUUAUUACGGCUGAAAAGUUAUUUUUGUCCCCAUUUUCAAAUUCAUUAAUGGAUAAUAUCUUAAAUCGAGCAUUUUGCAUAUCACACUAAUACAUUUUGAGGGCUCCUCUAAUUCUCAAAAACACGUCAUGCAUUUUUGCCUUCUCUUCUGAUCCAAUUAUCUGAACUACCCUUUUUUCUGAGCACUCGCCUGUGUAAAUCCUAAUCCGUUUUUCAGGUUCCAGCUCACUACAUUGUGAGCUAUUCUUAAUCACUUUUGUGACCUUUGCACCUAGCGGAUUAUGAUGCAAAGUAAGGACUUUGAUUUUUUCUUCUUUCUUUUCUUUCUUUUCUUUUUUUUC